GCAGAACAUUGGGAGAACGAAAGACAAAGAAUGACGUAACUCGGUAAUGGAAGGAGCUAUCUUUGCUUCUAUGCCAACAACAUUAUUUUGGAUGGCUUAUAUUGCUUGUUCGUUGCUUACAUGGAGUUGAUGGGGUCAGUUAUCUCUCAUUACAAGGAAUCAGUAACACCUCCAAGGAAUCAACCUGUCUAAUUUUAGGCCAUUUGGAAGGCGUUGGUAGGACUACUUUUAAUUCUUUACCAAUCAGGCUCCCAAAAGAGGGGUGAAGGCACCAGUGGCGGCAAAGAAGAAGACCGAUAAGGUUGUGAACCCUUUAUUUGAAAAGCGUCCAAAAAAAUUUGGUAUUGGUGGUGCAUUGCCUCCAAAAAGGAUUUGCAUAGGUUCGUGAAAUGGCCAAAAGUUGUCCGCAUUCAACGCCAAAGGAGGAUUUUAAGCAAAGUUCGAAGGUUCCACCUGCUUUGAACCAGUUCACAAAGACCUUAGAUAAAAACCUUGGAAAACGACAAAGUUGGAGGACGAUUUAUAUAGUUCGGUUACAUAUUACUUGGAAUGCUUGUUGGACCUGCAACUGCUGGAAGAGGAGAAUCAUAUUUAUUUAACAAAAGAGAAGGUCAAUUCAUUGCCUGGCAUAUCGCCUAUUUUACUACCGAUCAUCUAAUUUAUUGCUGGAUCGGACGAUGGUGGAUGCUUGCCUUACAGAAGGUGCUCACUACCAGGACCUUGUUCAGGUGCAUAACUCAUAAGUGUUGCAGAUUUGAAAAACAAUCGGCACGCAAGACAAGGCAAAGACUGUUAUCUCAUGCGUGUUUGAUGCCAAUGCUGGAAUUACUUGAAAUGAUAAAUUUGUCUAUGCUCGCGUUAAAUGCUCACAAAGUGUUGGCUCUGAAUUGUGCUUGGUUAAAUAAAACAAUUUUUUGGUUGCAAGUAUCAUAAUGAAUAGACCUUUGUGCUUGUAUUUCCCCAAUGUAUGUAUGAGUGUUGAAAUGUGUGUGGCAGCCUGUGUUUCAGGAUAAAUUGUGUCGCAGGCCUGUAAACUGGAAGCCCAGGUCCGUUAUAACGGAUCUGGACUAUCCAUUUUUUUU